rnacentral:rRNA from 1 species
UACGAAGGGGGGCGAGCGUUGUUCGGAAUUACUGGGCGUAAAGGGCGCGUAGGCGGCCGAUCAAGUCAGAUGUGAAAGCCCCGGGCUUAACCUGGGAACUGCGUUUGAUACGGUGUGGCUAGAGUUCGGGAGAGGAGAGUGGAAUUCCCAGUGUAGAGGUGAAAUCGUAGAUAUUGGGAAGAACACCGGUGGCGAAGGCGGCUCUCUGGACCGAUACUGACGCUGAGGCGGCG